GGCGAUUCGUUGAGCUGUUGCGAAGUUAUUAAAGAAACAGACGUUUAGGCUUCGUUUCCACCUGGAGGGCCGAGGCGACGUCCUAAAAUCAUGGAAAUGGAUUUGAGGCAUCGUGGCACAUAACCGAAGACCUUUAAUUUUCGGAUCGUGAAUUGGAGGCCGUUCGGGUGGUCGCGCGAGAGAUCGGGCCAAACCGGGUGCCGGGUGCCGCGGGCGGCCGAUUGCAAGUGUCGACAAGCAAUCGGAAUGCGAAAUGAGGUGGGUUGUGUUUACCGAAGCGACUAGGUCGCCCUUUAUGUCUAAGAAAUGAGAUUUCAUAUUGAUGCAUAUUGACAUAAUAUAAGAAUGUGAAAAGAAUGCAUGUUAACAUACUAUAGAAUAUGCUAAAUGUAAUGCAUAAUGAAUUAAGUGCUAAAAGAAUGCAUGAGAUGCUAAGUAUGGACUAUUUUGGAUAAUGACUAUAUGUAUGUUGACAAAUCAUGUGAUGCUAGUGGUAUAUGUGCAUGAUGAUAUAUUAUGAAUUUACAUAUUGUGGAUUAUGUUAAAUAGAAAAACAUACUUGAUGACAUAUUGCCAUGUUGUGGAACAUAGUGGACAAUCUAUAUAUAUAUUAGAUCGAGUGG
rnacentral:lncRNA from 1 species